rnacentral:rRNA from 1 species
UACGUAGGGCGCAAGCGUUAUCCGGAAUUAUUGGGCGUAAAGAGCUCGUAGGCGGUUUGUCGCGUCUGCUGUGAAAACCCGAGGCUCAACCUCGGGCCUGCAGUGGGUACGGGCAAACUAGAGUGCGGUAGGGGAGAAUGGAAUUCCUGGUGUAGCGGUGGAAUGCGCAGAUAUCAGGAGGAACACCGAUGGCGAAGGCAGUUCUCUGGGCCGUAACUGACGCUGAGGAGCGAAAGCGUGGGGAGCGAACAGG